rnacentral:rRNA from 1 species
UACGUAGGGUGCAAGCGUUAAUCGGAAUUACUGGGCGUAAAGCGUGCGCAGGCGGUUCGCUAAGACCGAUGUGAAAUCCCCGGGCUUAACCUGGGAACUGCAUUGGUGACUGGCGAGCUAGAGUAUGGCAGAGGGGGGUAGAAUUCCACGUGUAGCAGUGAAAUGCGUAGAGAUGUGGAGGAACACCGGUGGCGAAGGCGGCACUC